rnacentral:rRNA from 1 species
AGUAACGCGUGAGGAACCUGCCUCAAAGAGGGGGACAACAGUUGGAAACGACUGCUAAUACCGCAUAAGCCCACAGCUCGGCAUCGAGCAGAGGGAAAAGGAGUGAUCCGCUUUGAGAUGGCCUCGCGUCCGAUUAGCUAGUUGGUGAGGUAAUGGCCCACCAAGGCGGCGAUCGGUAGCCGGACUGAGAGGUUGAACGGCCACAUUGGGACUGAGGCACGGCCCAG